CACCGGCGGUGUGGGGGAGGAUGUCCAGGGAGCUGACGGCAAGGGUUGGUGAGAAGUCUGAGGUGCUGUCUAGGGUGGCUGGGAGGCAGGUGGCAGGCUGAGAGGCAGCAUCAGAGUCUGGAGUUUCAAGUCUAGGGAGCAGUUUUGUGGAAUGAGGGUGGGGCUGGGGUUCCUCCUGCCCCGGGCCAGUCAAGUGCUGCUGAGGGCUGGGGUCAGCUUCGGCUGCUGGUGCUCUCUUGAGUCGACAGGACCACAGGAGUCCCAUGCUGCCACUCUCCUGCUCCGCCAGGUUACAAGGGGCCACCUUCCUGGAGUGAAGUGAGCCACUCUGAGAGAAUGAAUGAUUCUGGGGACGGCAGUUCUGGAUUUCUGAGCUGGACAGCUUCAGGAAAAACUGUGGGAGGUGGGGCCGUGGCACAAACGUGAUGGGAGGGUGGAAAGGCUCUGAGCACUCACUCAGCGUCUCGGCCGUCUCCAGGCGUUUUCGGUUUUGUUGUUUUAACUUUUUUCAACCAGCAGAUACUGAGUUGUCUUUUCAUUAUUAUUGAAUUCUUUUUUAAAACAGAGAUGGGGUCUUGCUGUGUUGCCCGGUCUCAUCUUGAACUCCUAGGCUCAGGCGAUCCUCCCAUCUCGGCUUCCCAAAGUGCUGGGAUUACAGGCGUGAGACAUGGCGGCCGGCCAGAUACUGAGUUCUUAGCAUGGCCAGACACUGCUUUAGGUCAGAGCUUCCCAACUGGAGUGAUUCUGCUCCCCAGGGGACACUUGGCCCUGUCUGGACAGUUUUAGUUGUCACAGCUGGAGCAGGGGUACGGCUGGCAUCCAGCGGGGGAGGCGAGGAUGAGCUGCUCAGCAUCCCGAGACCCAGAGGACAGUCCCUCCCACAGGUGGGGGGUGGGCGGGGGGGGGGGGGGCGCGACGUACCCGGCUUUCAAAGUGCUUGUCGUCGCCACCUAAGAGCUAGCGUUUCCUCGUUUGUAGAUUUUACUUUCAGGGCGGAGGGCCACUUUAGCAUUGGUGCAGAAAGAUCUCCAAGCUCUACGAAUAUACGCAUAGGAUCCUGCCCUCUUCGAAAAAGGAGGAAUGUGUAUUCACGUUUUCUCGUUUGCGCGUUUCAGGUUCUCUGGAGGGAUAGACACUGAACGGAUGAUGGUAGUUGUCUAUGGGGUGAGGGAACAGGUUUAUGAGGAAGGCAUUUCUGCAUCUCUUUUUAUGCUUUUGAAUUUUUUAAUCAUGUGAUAUUAAACAUAGUUAAGAACUUUUAUUAUAAAGAAUUGAAAGAGGCCGGGCGUGGUGGCUCACGUCUGUAAUCCCAUUACUUUGGGAGGUUGAGGCUGGCAGAUUGCUUGAGGCCAGGAGUUCGAGACCAGCAUGGCCAACGUGGCGAGACCCUGCCUCUACUAAAAGUAACAAAAAUUAGCUGGGCCUGGUGGCGAGCGCCUGUAGGCCCAGUUACUCGGGAGGCUGAGGCGGACGCAGAGGUUGCAGUGAGCCGAGAUUGUGCCACUGCAUUCCAGCCUAGGUGACAGAGUAAGACCCUGUCUCAAAAAAGAAAAAGAAAAAAGAAAAAAAAGAA
rnacentral:lncRNA from 1 species